UAGAAGUCAGGUCGGAUUAAGCCAUAGUACGGAAAAAACUAUGCUACCUGUGAGCCCCGUCCAAGGACGUUAAAAGAAGUCAGGCCAUCACAAAUGCCAUAGCUUGAGUAAACUAUGCUGCCUGUAGCUCCACCUGAGAAGGUGUAAAAAAUCUGGGAGGCCACAAACCAUGGAAGCUGUACGCAUGGCGUAGUGGACUAGCGGUUAGAGGAGACCCCUCCCUUAUAAAUCGCAGCAACAAUGGGGGCCCAAGGCGAGAUGAAGCUGUAAUCUCGCUGGAAGGACUAGAGGUUAGAGGAGACCCCCCCGAAACAAAAACAGCAUAUGACG
rnacentral:lncRNA from 1 species